rnacentral:lncRNA from 10 species
UCAUUCCAUGCCUCCAAGUCUUCACCAGGAAAUACUAAUUUCUUGCAAUUUGCAACAUGGAGCUCGCUAAUUCCUAUCUAAUUUUCCAGAUAUGAUGGCUCUGAUUGAUGUCAGAGUGGGAUUCAAAGUAGAACUUCAGUGACUCCAAGGAGCACCAAGUCACCAAAAGUUGGCCUUCUGUAUCCAUGAGUUCCAUAUGAGUGGAUUCAACCAACUGUAGAUUUUUUACAGUCCAGAGAUGUCUUUCUCAAGUACCUGGAAGCCAGCUCUUUGAAAUGUAACAUCAAGAAUACAGUGCUCCAUUAUGGAAAACAGUAUGGAAGUUCCUCAAAAAUUUAAACAUAGAACUACCAUCUGACUCAGCAAUCCCAUUUCUGGGUACAUAUCCAGAGGAAAUAAAAUCAUAUUCCCAAAAAAUAGUUGCACUCCCAUGUACAUUGCACCAUUAUUCACAUAGCCAAGAUAAAGAACAGCCUAACAGGUGAAUGGAUUAAAUAAUGUGAGAUGUAUAUGUGUGUGUGUAUAUAUAUAUAUAUAUAUGUAUAUAUAUAUAUAUAAUCCCAUGUGUGAAAACAAUGUAUAGAUAUAUGGCUAUUUGGAUAUGUAUGUGCGUGUGUGUGUGUGUGUAUAUAUAUAUAUACACAUACGCAAUGGAAUAUUAUUCCAUCUUUUUUAAAAAAGGAUAUCUUUUCAUUUGUAACAACAAGGAUGAGCCUGGAGAACGUUGUGUUAAGGGAAAUAAGCCAGGCAUAGAAAGACAAAUACUGCAUAAUCAAACUUAUAUGUAGAAUCUUUAAAAAAGUCCAACUCCUAGUAACAGAGAGUAGAAUGGUGGUUACUAGGGGCUGGAUAUAGUGAAAAAGGAAGAUAUUGGUUAAAACGUACAACCUUUCAGUUAUACAGUGAGUAUGUUCUGGAGACUUAAUAUACAGCAUGGUGGCUACACUUAAGGAUAAUGUAUUGUCAUUAAUGUAAUGUAAUGUCUUGAAAUUUGCUGACAGAACGGAUCGCAAGUGUUCUCACUACAAAAAAGGCAAUUAUGCGAGAUGAUGGGUAUGUUAAUUAGCUUGACUGUG